rnacentral:rRNA from 1 species
AGCGAACGCUGGCGGUAGGCCUAGCACAUGCAAGUCGAACGGCAGCACAGUAAGAGCUUGCUCUUACGGGUGGCGAGUGGCGGACGGGUGAGGAAUACAUCGGAAUCUACUUUUUCGUGGGGGAUAACGUAGGGUAACUUACGCUAAUACCGCAUACGACCUACGGGUGAAAGCAGGGGAUCUUCGGACCUUGCGCGAUUGAAUGAGCCGAUGUCGGAUUAGCUAGUUGGCGGGGUAAAGGCCCACCAAGGCGACGAUCCGUAGCUGGUCUGAGAGGAUGAUCAGCCACACGGGAACUGAGACAGGGUCCAGACUCCUACGGGAGGCAGCAGUGGGGAAUAUUGGACAAUGGGCGCAAGCCUGAUCCAGCCAUACCGCGUGGGUGAAGAAGGCCUUCGGGUUGGAAAGCCCUUUUGUUGGGAAAGAAAAGCAGCAGGUUAAUACCCCGCUGUUCUGACGGUACCCAAAGAAUAAGCACCGGCUAACUUCGUG